ACAACUUCUUCCCAAUCCCAACAAGUCUGUGAUUAUGCACUCCUUUCCAACAUUUUCCUCUAUGAAUCCCCUCUCUCAAACACAUUUCAAUCUUCUUCUUUCUCACAAACUCACCACCACACUCAAUCUUUCCGGCAUCAUUGUCAGAGCUUCGCCACUUUAAAGGCCGUUUUCAGUCACUCACGAUGCCGGAUCUUGAAAUAUAAAUAUGAGAUUUAUGUUUC
rnacentral:lncRNA from 1 species